UGGCCGCGGUAUUUUGACCGUGCUAAGGUAGCAUAAUCAUUAGUUUUUUAAUUGAAAGCUGGAAUGAAGGGCUGAAUGAAAAAAAAACUGUCUCUAAUUAAUUAUUUUAGAAUUUUAUUUUUAAGUUAAAAAGCUUAAAUUUUAUUAAAAGACGAGAAGACCCUAUAGAGUUUAAUAAUUUUAUACUAUAAAAAAUUUGGAAUUAAUAUUUUUAUUUUUAUAUAAUUAUUUGAUUGGGGUGAUUAAAAAAUUUAAUAAACUUUUUUAUUUAUUUAUAUUGAUUAAUAAAUAAUUGAUCCAAAAAUUUUGAUUAUAAGAUAAAAUUACCUUAGGGAUAACAGCGUAAUUUUAUUUGAGAGUUCUA
rnacentral:rRNA from 1 species